rnacentral:tRNA from 1 species
GAGGGUAUAGCUCAGUGGUAGAGCACAUGCUUAGCAUGCAUGAGGUCCUGAGUUCAAUCCCCAGUACCUCCC